GACGAACGCUGGCGGCGUGCCUAAUACAUGCAAGUAGGACGCAGUUGCGAACGGGUGAGUAACGCGUAGGUAACUACCUAUUAGAGGGGGAUAACUAUUGGAAACGAUAGCUAAUACCGCAUACUAGUAGAUGGACCUGCGUUGUAUUAGCUAGUAGGUAGGGUAAUGGCCUACCUAGGCAACGAUACAUAGCCGACCCUGGAGGGGGAUCGGGCACAACGGGACUGGGACACGGCCCAGACCCCUACGGGGAGCAGCAGUAGGGGAACUUCGGCAAUGGGGGGAAACCUGACCGAGCAACGCCGCGGGAGAGAAGAAAGGCUUCGGAUCGUAAAGCUCUGUUGUUAAGGAAGCGGUACUUAACCAGAAAGGGACGGCUAACUACGUGCCAGCAGCCGCGGUAAUAC
rnacentral:rRNA from 1 species